UGAAAUGAAAAAUGCACAGGUAGCCAUCUAGACCCGGUAUUGACCUAAGUCGAUUUUUCAUCCAAUAAAUUGGCCAAUGCGUCCAAUUUCACUCCAACUUGCUCCAUUUCUUUUCCAAUCCCUCAAUUCACCAAGCACAACUAAUUAACACACAAUUAGGCAAAAUUUAUCUUCACUUUUCUUCUUGGAACUUUCGGCCAACAAUGGUACACUAACUCCGUGAUUUUUCCUACUUAAUUUUCUCUCCAUAAUUCAUUAAUUCCUACACCAAAAACUAUUAUUUCUUAAUCAAAUCACCUAGAAUAACAUCCCAUUCUUCCUCUUUAUUCACUUAGAGAAUUCGGCUAUUGAUGGGCACCAAACCUUUGGUGGUUUUCUUCACUUGUUUUCAUGCUACACAUCAUUAAUCACCUAAAAACACUAACAUACCUAAAAAUCAAACCAAUCCAAGAUCAUUCUCUCUCCAUACCCAUUUUGACCAGCCAUGAAUUCAUCAUGAAAACAUGUAAUUUAACCAUGAAAAUUAAGGGAAAAUGCAUGGGUAAGGUAAAUCACUAGCAAAAUCAAAG
rnacentral:lncRNA from 1 species